AGCGAACGCUGGCGGCAGGCCUAACACAUGCAAGUCGAACGAACUCUUCGGAGUUAGUGGCGGACGGGUGAGUAACACGUGGGAACGUGCCUUUUGGUUCGGAAUAACUCAGGGAAACUUGUGCUAAUACCGAAUGUGCCCUUCGGGGGAAAGAUUUAUCGCCAUUAGAGCGGCCCGCGUCGGAUUAGCUAGUUGGUGAGGUAACGGCUCACCAAGGCGACGAUCAGUAGCUGGUCUGAGAGAAUGACCAGCCACACUGGGACUGAGACACGGCCCAGACUCCUACGGGAGGCAGCAGUGGGGAAUCUUGCGCAAUGGGCGAAAGCCUGACGGAGCCAUGCCGCGUGAAUGAUGAAGGUCUUAGGAUUGUAAAAUUCUUUCACCGGGGACGAUAAUGACGGUACCCGGAGAAGAAGCCCCGGCUAACUUCGUG
rnacentral:rRNA from 1 species